UCCCUGGCUGCUCCAAGGCUCCCGGCUCGCCGCCAUCUUGUAUUGGGGCUUCAUUGUUCGCGUUGGGCCCGGCAGUUGAGUGUAAUUGCCGCCGAAGAAGGAGGCGGGGUAACCUCCGGUCAGCCGAGAAACCCGGCUACCCCUCAGCCAUAGCCGGUCAAAAGAUUUGUGAGGUAGUAAAGGGUAGGGAGCUGGACCUGGAGGCGCCGCCGCGACAGCAGCAGCCAUGGAGGACGAAAUGCCUAAGACUCUAUACGUUGGUAACCUUUCCAGAGAUGUCACAGAAGCUCUAAUUCUCCAGCUCUUUAGCCAGAUUGGACCUUGUAAAAACUGCAAAAUGAUUAUGGAUGUAAGGACAGCCGGAAAUGAUCCAUAUUGUUUUGUGGAGUUUUAUGAGCAUCGUCAUGCAGCUGCAGCACUUGCUGCUAUGAAUGGGCGGAAGAUAAUGGGUAAGGAAGUCAAAGUGAAUUGGGCAACAACUCCCAGCAGUCAAAAGAAAGACACAAGCAGUAGUACCGUUGUCAGCACACAGCGUUCACAAGAUCAUUUCCAUGUCUUUGUUGGUGAUCUCAGUCCAGAAAUUACAACUGAAGAUAUAAAAGCUGCUUUUGCACCAUUUGGAAGAAUAUCAGAUGCCCGAGUGGUAAAAGACAUGGCGACAGGAAAGUCUAAGGGAUAUGGCUUUGUCUCCUUUUUCAACAAAUGGGAUGCUGAAAACGCCAUUCAACAGAUGGGUGGCCAGUGGCUUGGUGGAAGACAAAUCAGAACUAACUGGGCAACCCGAAAGCCUCCAGCUCCAAAGAGUACAUAUGAGUCAAACACCAAACAGCUAUCAUAUGAUGAGGUCGUAAAUCAGUCCAGUCCAAGCAACUGUACUGUGUACUGUGGAGGCGUCACUUCCGGGCUGACAGAACAACUAAUGCGUCAGACUUUUUCACCAUUUGGACAAAUAAUGGAAAUUCGAGUCUUUCCAGAUAAAGGAUAUUCUUUUGUUCGGUUCAAUUCCCAUGAAAGUGCAGCACAUGCAAUUGUUUCUGUUAAUGGAACUACCAUUGAAGGCCAUGUUGUGAAAUGCUACUGGGGCAAAGAAACUCUCGAUAUGAUAAAUCCUGUGCAACAGCAGAAUCAAAUUGGAUAUCCACAAGCUUAUGGCCAGUGGGGCCAGUGGUAUGGGAAUGCACAACAAAUUGGCCAGUAUAUGCCUAAUGGUUGGCAAGUACCUGCAUAUGGAAUGUAUGGCCAGCCGUGGAACCAGCAAGGAUUUAAGGACAGCUCUUCCCUGAAUUCUUAUAUUUCUUAGCUGCAUUUGCUUCAUUAGAUUUUUAAAAUUUACAUUGGAAUGUCAGUGUAUUAUUUUCAACUGCUUUAUGGGAACAUUUUCUUGUGAGUUUUCUCCGGGGAAACUCUGGGUAAGUUUUGCUGUCUUUCUUAUUUUUAAUUACAGUAUCUUGGUACAAAUGCUGUGCUUACAUCUUUCUGUUUAUUCAUAUUUGAAAUGGUUGGUUUUUUCUAGACCAAGUACCAGCAGGAGGAUGAAGGGGAAAGAACCUGUCAGGGUUUCUUACCUCCCUUCUCUGUGGCUGCAAUGAAUUGUCUGCUUAAAAGUGUAGACAUGGUUCCUCUCUGGGAUGAGGCCCUGUUCAGAAGUUCUGUGCCAGCUGAGCACCCUUGAUUGCUUCAUGUGCUCCAUUAAGUGACAAAACUCUUGUCUUCAAGGAGAUCCCCUAACUUGCUUUCUGAAAGACAUCUCCUCUGGAUCCUUUAGGCACUUAACACAUCUUCCCUCCCUGCCUCUUCCAGUACUCACAUACUAGUUCAGUCCUUCUGACAGCUGGCUCCACUCACGGUUUGGCUCUCAGACUGAAUAUUUGCAAGUGAUUUCUGAGGUCUGCCACUACUGGCCCCCUCCUCACUCCCUGUCCUUCCCCCACAACACUCAGUUGGCCUCCCAUCCAGUACCACACUUCUUCUCAAUGUGGAAUGUGUUGAGUUUUCUCUGUAUCCCUGGCUUCACUUAAGAUACUGUUUGUGGGAGUUGGUGGUCAUAGGUUUUCCUUAUUGUUCCCUGUGGUUUCCAGGAGAAGGGUAAAGAUCCAGGUACCAGACUACUAACCUUUCUGCCAGAAUCAGAAGCCCAAAGGAAUCUUUUAUAGAUGUAGAUCUGAUCAUGACUCUUCCCUUCUUGAAAGUCUUUGCUUCAGAUUAUAUUUAGGAUGUAAUCUAAAAUCUUUGGAAAAGACCAUGAUGCUGGGAAAGAUUGAGGGCAGGAGGAGAAGGGGGCAACAGGAUGAGAUGGUUGGAUGGCGUCAUCGACUCAGUGGACAUGAGUUUGAACAAACCUGGGAGAUGGUGACAAACAGGGAAGCCUGGCAUGCAGCAGUCCAUGGGGUCACAAAGAGUCUGACAUGACUGAGAAACUGAAAAACAACGACCAAAAUCUUUAAUACAGCCUGCAGUUGUCUUCUAAAGUAGUCUGUGUUUACCCAACUUCACUGCAAGCCACUUUAUAUAUCAGAAUCCCAUCAGGAGACAGAGACCACCACUAAAAUUUGAAAAGGGAAAUUUUAGUGUAAAUAGUGAAAAAUGGUUAAUCCCUAGAAGGAGUCCAAAAAUUGCAAGUGCAAAAAGAAAAAAAAGCUACUACUUCUGAGCAGAGUGGACAGUGCUAAGGGUUUAGGAGAGCACUUGAAGUUUCUAACCUCUUCAAAGUGGGCUUGAUUCUCGCAGGAACCUGCAGCCUGGUAAGAAACAUGCCAGAAGGUGUGGGCCAGACCUGUUCCUUAGAAGCUGCCUACCAUUGGCCAGAGUUGAUCUCCAGAAAUGGUCCACCAGGUGAGGGAGCUAGGGUUGCCAGAUUUAGCAAGUGAAAGCACAGUCCCAAAUACUACAUGAAACAAACUAAAAGUUAUAUGAUGUUUAACUGGAAUCCACGUUUAACUGGGUGUCCUGUAUUUUAUCUGUCAGCCUUUGACGGUGCUACAGGCUGGUGCAUCCAAAGCUGCCAUAGAAGCAGCUGCAAGUGAGGAAAAGUGUAGCCUGAGGGUGCAGCAGGGGCAGGUCCAGAGAACCACUGAAGGGAGCACCCCUGGGUCUUCUGUACACUGAUCCAUUGAAUUGCACACUGAAUACAAAGAUUGAACCAGAACCUGUAAGGAACAUUCCCUCCUGUCAUUGCCUUGCAUGUUCCUCUAGGUCCCUCUGUUGGCAGAGCCUAAUAUUGAGCCAGCUGGCGCAGGUGAAAUGCUUUACAAAGCAGGGCAUAGCAGAGUGGAUUGGGGAUCAGAACUCCCACUGCAGAGCCCUGCCAUGUGAAUGCCUUUUGUCUGUCUGCUGUUUGUCUUCAGCUCUCCACUUAAAUGUCUCUUCCUCUAAAACGUCUUCCUUUCUCUACCCACAGUCUAAAUCAGGAGCCUCUCUAGUCAUCUUAUAGUUUCCCUUUAGAACAUCUGUCAUAAUUUUAAAUUAUGUAUUUAUGUGAUUAUAUCUUUAAAACUAUGUUCCCCAUUAAAAGUUGGUGACUGUUUUCUUCAGUGCUGUAUAUAUACCCUGUAGGUAGUAAAUCAUUUAAUUAAUUUAAUUAUCUCGAUCUCAUUUUAAACAAAUGGCUUUCUGCUGUGUGCUGAUAAAAUACUGGGUUUGAGGUGAUAAGAGCUAAAACUAAAGGACCAUACCAGGGCCAAUUCUAUGAGAUCUACCUUCCAAAAUGUGGGGUGUAGGCACAUAAGACAUUCAGGUAGAAAUAUCCAGUAGACAAUGUUGUAGAAUUUGGAAGGGAGAUCCAGACUGGAAUAGAGAUGGGAGUCAUCAGCAUUUAGGUGGUAGUUCAACCCAAGGAGUGGCAGUCACCCAGAGAGACAGUAGAGUGAGAAGAGGCCUGAGGACAGAACUCUUAGGUCUAUCUUGUAUGGAAGGGGGCAGAGACAGCUAAGCUUGCAAAGGAGAAUGAGGAACAGCUGCCUGACAGGGGAGAAAUACUGAAGGCCCAUAAUGUUGCAGAGAUCAGGAAGGAAACCACUCAAGGAAAUAGUAGUCAAGGGUCAAGUGUGGCAGAGGGGGAAAAUGUUCACUGGAUUUAGCAAUAAAGAAGUAACUGGUGACUUUAAAAACUAACACUUUCAGUGAAACAGUAGGAACAAAAUGUGGAUGCAGUGGGUUAGGGAGUGGGAGGUGGAGAUGUUUAGUGCAGACUGCCUUCCUGAUUUAGUGGGCUGUAGAGAAAAGGAAGCAGAGAGGAAGGAGCAGAUAGAUUUAAGAAAGCAAUAAUUUUUUUAACAUCUCAAGACAAUAAAUUAUGAAUAAAUCACAAAGGUAAGUAAAUGAUCACCAAAAACAAAACCUCUACUGUUCACCCAUUUGGAAAUACACAACAAAAAAAUACCUCUGUUUUAUAUAAAAAAACUGGAACAGCAGUUCAAGAAUGUGUUUGUGUGCAUGUGUGUACUAUUUCUCUAGGAUACUUAGAAUUGAGAGAUGGAUUAAAGAAUUUAAAGUGUAAAAAUUGUAUGAUACAUAUUGUCAAAUUGCCCUCUUAAAAGUUGUAUCAUUUUACACUCCAACCAAAAAUGUCUGAAAGCACCCAUUUGCCCCGCUUUUACCAAUGCUGAUUGUUAUUAAGCUUUCAUUUUUGCCAAUCUGAGACAUGUAAAAUGAUCUCUUCUAUUUCCCUGAUUGCAAGUAAAGUUAGUGAUUUUUUUCCCAUGGUAAUUGGUUGUUUGUGUUUCUUUUCUGUGACUUUUCUGUUCAUGUCCUUUGUCCGUUUGACCUCCAAGGACUUAGACAUAGUGAUUGUAUAUUGAAUAAUAAAUAACUACUAAAUAAAUAAGCCCAUGCACCUAGAGCCUGUGCUCCACUACAAGAGAAGCCACCGCAAUGAGAAGCCUGUGCACCACAAUUAGAAGCCCCCACUCACCACAACUAGAGAAAUGCCCUCGGAGCAACGAGACCCAGUACAGCCAAAAAAUAUAUAUAUAUAUAUUUUUUAAAGAAAUAUGAUCAUAGUAUCUUAUGUUAAGUGACAAAAGCAAGUUGCAGGAAAAAGAUAAAUUUAUCUUUGAAAGUAAUAGAGAAAGUUUUGGAAACAAUAUUUUUUGAACUAGACAUCUUUCUUAACUAAGUAUAAUUAGAGUGAAAGCUAGGCUCAUGCAAAUGGAGAAACUAGAAACAUUCUUAAGGUCAGGAAGACAAGGCUAUCUACUAUUACCUUAUUAAUUAUUUCCAGGACUUACCUGGUUGUCCAGUGGUUAAGAAUCCACCUUCUAAUGCAGGAGACACAGGUUUGAUCCCUGAUCAGGGAACUAAGAUCCCACAUGCCUAGGGGCAACUAAACCCACACUCUGCAACUGCUGAGUCCAUCCACUCUAGAGCCUGUGCUCCCCAAGAGAAGCCUACACGCUGCAAUGAAGACCCAGGAGAGCCAAAGAAGAAAGAAAAAUAAAAAUCCCAAACUUAUGACAAUUAGAAAAAUACUAUAAAAACAAUGAGAGAAUUAAGUGGGUAAAAAAAUAUUAGCAUACUGAAAUAAAGAAGGCCCUUAUUUGUAUAAAGCCCUUAUUUGAAGAAGGAAUUGAAGAACCUAGCAUGCCUGGCUUGGAAGAAAGAAACCUCUUUUAGAAUGAGGUUGUUUGAAACAUAUAAUGUGUAUCAGCUGAAAACCCACAGAUCUCUUAGGAUGCAUUUGGGCAAUUCCAUUGGAAAAAAAUUUUAAACACUCUCUCUUUACAACAGAGUCUCUUUAAUUGUGACACUAUUAACAUUUUGGUCCAGAUAACUCUUUGUUGUAAGGGAUGUCCUGUGCAUUGGAGGAUCUUCAACACCUAUGGCAUCUACUAGAUGUGUAAGCAGUGCUCCCAGCUGAGAACAACUGCUUUGUGUAAUCACUUGGCACUAAUACAAUCAUAAACACAACCAGACGUGGGUGAUCAUUUAGAUGAUCCAGGAUAUACUUAAAAAAAUUUCUUUUUGGCUGCACAGGCUGUUCAUUGUAUAGUGUGGACUUUGUCUAGUUGUGGUUUGUGGGCUUCUCUCUUGUGGCACAUGGGCUCUAGGGCGUGUGGGUUCAGUAGUUGCAGUGCAGGGGCUUAGUCCCUCCAUAUGUGGGAUCUUAGUUUCCUAAUUAGAGAUUUAACCCACCUCCCCUGUAUAUUGGAAGGCAGAUUCUUAGCCACUGGACAGCCAGGGAAGUCCCGAUCCAGGAUCUUCUGAUGAUCAUUUUAAAACUUGAAAUGGAAAGACAAAAUUGGAAAAAUUUCGUGGAACAGGAAAAAUGUGCCCUUCUCCCCUCUACCUCCAGAUUAGGAAACAACAUAGCAAAUCUUAAUCACGGAAGGGACCCCUUCUCUUAUUAAUAGUUAAGAAGACUAAGGUUCUGCCAGCUAAAGAAUGUCACUCACCAUCUGGCUCUGUAAGGAUUAAGUCAUUAGCCACUGCAGUCACUGACCUUCAACACACCUUGAAGGGAGUUCAGGGUGGAGAUCAGAAACAAGGCACUCUGUGCUCUGGAAAAAUUGGGAGAAUAGGACUUCAUACGGAUAUUUUCAGAUUCUAUGAACCUAGUUUCCUGCAUCUUUCCAUACUUAGCAAAACACUAAAAUCUUUAACUAAGAUACCUGUGCUUUGUCACCAGAAGCACCCCUCUACCAACGUGUGCUUGAUGCAUAUACCCCUUCUCCAAAAUCAUAGAUGUGCUAACUUCCCCCCCAACCUCUUCACAUCACUUCCUCAGAGCUGAGAGACUAUCUCAUUGAUUACAGUCCUCAGUAAGUCCCUGAAUAUAACAAACACAACUCUCACCUUUUUAUUUAUUCAUAUUAUUUCAUUUGGCAGUUCUCAGGUGACCAGUCCACAGUGCAACGAUUAAUUAAAGUAGCAGGAUGAAGGCUAAAGGUGCAGGAAAUCUCAUUUCGGGGUUUUCCAGUACAUACAAGCCUCACCCUUAACAUAUUUGUACUCAACAGCUAUUGUCAACAAAGAGUAUGUAGAUUUAUUCUGCAAUUCCAUGGACUAAAACUAGGUCAUGCCGGAACUCAAUUAACUCAAUUCCAACCCCUUCUAAGGGAAAACGUUCAAGUAAUACGUCAGAGUAUAAUUAAGGGAGAAAAGAUAACAUGAUACAAACACACAAGUGACAGAAACAGCGAAUACUUUGGUGGACAACACUCCCUUGACAAAACACUAAAUCGCAGCCGACGUUGCUAAAAAUAUAGAAAAUUUAAGACUUGCAUCAAUGACGGAUGGAAUUCUCCUCAGAAACAGGACUCACUCAGGCCUAAUCUAGCCAUGACCAACCCUAGAAUUGUCUGUGCCUUCCAGUACCAGCAGAGUUGUCCAGAGCACUCUUGCCAUAGCAAAAAACAAACAAACAAACAAACUUAAGUGGUACAAUGGCCUGGUCGCAGCCGUUGUCCGCUGCUUCUAGGAUGAGUAAACUACAACUCCCGUCAGACAACGCGAACUGAGGCGGGGCGGCUCUGACCAAUAACGAUUGUCGUUACAGCGAACAGUUUGGCCGCGUUUGUAAAAGGCCGCGGCAGGCGAAGAGAGAGGAGGUGAGGGCGGUCAUCAGCGUGGGAGCCCGGGGCCGCAGGGUGGGGGGCGCAGGGCAGGUCUAAAGGAGGUUAUUGUGCCCCAGUUAGGUUGCCAUUCAGAAUCACCAGUAUCAGCUUGUGAGUCUACUGCCUCUAAGCCAAA